rnacentral:rRNA from 1 species
UGGGGAAUCUUGCGCAAUGGGCGAAAGCCUGACGCAGCAACGCCGCGUGUGGGACGAAGGCCUUCUGGGUUGUAAACCACUUUCAGCAGGGACGAUUGUGACGGUACCUGCAGAAGAAGCCCCGGCCAACUACGUGCCAGCAGCCGCGGUAAUACGUAGUGGGCGAGCGUUGUCCGGAAUUAUUGGGCGUAAAGAGCUCGUAGGCGGCUUGGCAAGUCACGUGUGAAAUCUCCAGGCUCAACCUGGUGAUGCCACGUGAUACUGCCAUGGCUUGAGUCCGGUAGGGGACCAUGGAAUUCCUGGUGUAGCGGUGAAAUGCGCAGAUAUCAGGAGGAACACCAGUGGCGAAGGCGGUGGUCUGGGCCGGUACUGACGCUGAGGAGCGAAAGCGUGGGGAGCGAACAGG